CACGCACACAGAAAACAGACUGGGAAUUGUAAAAACAGCUGACGAACAGAGACUUUCUACUCUACAGGGAAGUCUCUCACCGUCAGCACUGUGGACAUCGGGACUGGAUCCAUCUCUGGGGUGAGGCUGCCCUGGCACUGCAGGGUGCUGAGCAGAGUCCCUGGCCUCCACCCACUCCCUGCCAGGAGCACCCCUUAGUUACACUGAGCUAUGAUCGCACCACUGCACUCGCACCUGGGCAACAGAGUGAGACUCUGACUCUAAAAUAAUAAUAAUAACAAGAAUAUAAGAAUAAUAAUUCAGAUCCAUGUCCGAUAAAAAUAAUAAAUAAGUAAAGCUGAGGCUCUAACAUGAAGUCAUUACGAGGCUCAUCCAGCCACAGUGGGCUCUGCACUGGGGCACCCGCCUGGGCCUCUGCCUGGCCCAUGUCUGCUCAGGAGCCCUCAGCCCCUUGAACCCUGCUGGUGGGACAGGGGGCCCCUCUACCAGGCCCCUAACUUCUCAACAGACCCCACCUUGGGCCUCCCCAGGCUGCACCUUAACCAUCUAUGACACGCAUCCCCAGGCGGCACCGGGAGUGUCUGCGCAGAGAUCCGAGGGUGUUAGCCUGGCAGGGGCCCUGCAGGUGGGUGCUGGUUCACUAAAACGAUGAAGCGGAUGGGAGGAAAAUUAGCAUCCAACGGGCCUCAUCAUUGCUGUCCUGGGCAAUGGACUCUGACCCCUGCUGUAGAGGGUCAGAGAGGGUCAAGGUCAAGCCACAGAUUGGCAGAGCCAUCCUCUCUGGCCUCCACUCGGCUCCCCCAUGUCCCCUGCCCCCAGCAUCUCAUCAUAUGCGACUGUCACCGCCGUGUGUAUUUUGAGUCAAAGGCGGCCAAGGCUCGAUGAAUCUGCCGAUGACCAAGUUGGUGCCUCAUCCCUCGUUCUGUGGGAGGCUGACUGUUCAAGCGGUUGCUUAGCAACAGGCGCGCGCGCGCGCGCGCACACACACACACACACACACACACACACACACACACGAGAGGUGGCUGUGGUCUGCACACUGGGCUGGGGUACUCAGAUCCCCGGGCUCGGUGGUCGUGGAUGUGAGCCUCUCUGGGUAUGGAGCCUCAAUCAGUAGAGUCAGGUGGUCGCAAUAACAGCUCUGAAACGGGGAUUCAUUGAGAGGACAUCGGUGGGCUUGAAAACGGGUGUCUGUUUACCGGGGCUUGAGUGGGAGCUGUAGUAAUUCUGUCCAGAAGAGGACAGAAGCCUGCUCUCAACUCACCCGGGAGGCAGGUUCUUCUGCACCGGGCCUUCUCCCCCCGGCACUGUGGGCAUUUGGGGCUGAAUCAUUCUUGGUUGUGGGGCUGCCCCGGGCACUGCAGGGUGCUGAGUGGCACCCCUGACCUCCACCCCAUGGCAUCCACCAAUCGAGGCAGCCACAAAUGUCUCCUGGGUGCAAAAUUGCCCCGAGUUGAGACCCCCUGGGAUAGGGGAUUCCACGGACCCCCAAGAGACUCCGCGUCCCAUGAUCCUCUGCCCUGCUGAGGUCCCCGGAGGCUGCACACAUUGAAAUCCACACCCUGAGUGAGGAGGGAGAGAGGAGGGGAACAACUUGUCCGCGAAAAGAACUGAUAAUAACGUGAAUUUCAACACGACCAGGACAUGCUGAAAUCUGGUGACCGACCAGGGGGAAAUAAACCCGCUCUGACUGGCCGCGGGGACUGGAGUUUGCUUACCACACAAGAGCCCUUCUCAGGAUAAGAGGCUCCAGUAAAGCUCUCAGCAGAAAUGUUACCAAAAAAAAAAAACCCUCGCCGGGAGAACAAGGAGCUACCAGAAAAACACACUCGGUGAUCUGGAGGUCGCAAAGUUCUUCCGCACUCAGUGAGGCAAGAAGCAAAAAGGCUGAAGAAAUGCUUAUCCUGGAAGAGGGGUUCUCACCCGGGUUCUGUGGACAUCGGAGCCGGAUUGUUCUCUGGGGUGGGGUCGUCCUGGGCACUGCAGGCUGCUGAGCAGCGUCCCGGGCCUCCACCCACUCCAUGCCAGGGGCACCCCCCAGUCGUGUAACCACAAAUAUCCCCAGACAUUGCCCCAGAUGAGUGAGGACAGAGGUGCAGGUGGGUGCAGGUGGGCACAGGUGGGUGCAGGUGCCCCGUGAACCCAUCUCCAUCUGCACCCUCUGCAUCUCCAACCCCACCCCCAGCCCCAGUGUCUCCUAAGGGGUAGAAAGUCUUCAGUGCUGAAUGUGAGAGACCCUGCCUUAAUUUGAGGGAAAAAAAAGUAAUCAAGUCUGUCCCCUGCUCACAUCAGACACCACGACAAACUCCCAAUGGAGCAGACGGUGUAAGACAGGGGGACCCCAGCUCCUGGGAUUUGCCUCUUCUCUCCCUCCUCACUCGGAGUGUGGAUUUCAGUGUGUGCAGCCUCCUGGAACCUCAGAGGUCCAUAUGAUCAUGGGACACACCUGAGACCCAGGAGGUCUCAACUUGGGGUGAUUUUUUUUUUUUUUG
rnacentral:lncRNA from 1 species